AGGCAUUUUAAUACUUACCAGUGACUAAAUCUAAUGUGACAAACACCAAGCAUAUUGAAUUACACUAAAACUACCCUAGCAUUUCAAUCCCUCAAAAUCAUCAAGCCUCAAUAACAUAUCAAAAUCCAACAACUCUAAGCAAAAUUCACAAUUAGCACCAAAAAAACUGAAACUCAACAGCUCAACAAAAACAACAAUAGUAAAAUCUGUUAGAGUACGUGUCCUACUGACUAGUGACUUUAACGUAAGAGUUGUCUAUGGAUGGAACAGGUUGUCUGACAAGUUCCAAGAAAGCGAAAGUAAAGAACACAAUAAUUUCAAAAAGGUGCAAAAAAAAUACAAUGAUUUAACCCCAACUUCACUAAAUAGCUCUGUCCUGUGAAACAAGUUCGUCAAUCUGUUCCUUUGUACUUUGUACUGACAAAACUUGAAUCUUCAAUCAAAAUUCUCUCAAUUAUGAACUUUCUUAAUUUUCUCGUUUUUAGCCUUUUCUCUCUUUGUAAGUGCGCAAGUUAUUCUAAAUAAUACAUUUCUAUUUAAGCACAGCUCUCCAAAAAAGUCAUUCUUUAUUUCAAACUCCUCCUUUAAUUAGAACUCUCAUUAAGUAGAAUUCGACUCCUUCUUCAAUUCCAACUCUUGUAUCCUUAGUGUUGUAGUCAAACUCCAACUCUUUAAAUCAACACAUGUUUAUUUCCUUGAGUUUAUCUGAAUUAGCCACCCAUCUGGUUCGUCCUUGAUUUUUGUACGCUUGUCUUUAAUCAUCGAUGAUUUUGCUACAAGUUUCAGCUACAUGAGACGGUGUGUUUAUGAACCAGCU
rnacentral:lncRNA from 1 species